UAAUCACUACCGCAGGCCGACGGGCUCUAACUGGGUUUGGUAGGAAGCCAAGAAAUUGUUCGAUAGGUAAGAACGGGAAACCGAGGACCUGAAGGAUUCAGUCCACGAUUUUCCCUCUACCUCUCUGCUAUGCUGACUCAUGGCGCCAGUAUUGCUCAUCACAAACAGUGACAUCAUGAAAUGAAUAUGGAUUGAUCAUGUGUUCGAAACUUGGAUAAGAUUGACAGAGGAAUAUUUUCAAAAAAGCCGACUGUCCUUCAAACGGUUCGAAAUUUGUAUAAAACCCAUCCCCAGCAACGACAACCUGCAGAAGGAAAGGCACGUAAAACUUGU